CGCAACACGCAGCUUAGGCUUUUUUUUUCUUCCCCAGCGACGCGCGAGCGGAAGAUGUCUAGGCGCGCGCUGUUGCCAUGGUAAUUCGUACCCGCCUCUACGCUUGUGAGCUCUUUUAUGGCCUCUUUCUCCAGGAAACUGAGGCCUGCAGACGUUAAAUAAUAAGAAGUAAAAAGCCGGGUAUGUUGAACUUCAGAGCAUAUGAACUGCCUCCCCACUGUUCGCUGGAUUGUUCUUAGAGUGGAAUAUGACCGUUCAUUUCUGGAGGCUGGGAAGUCCAAGAUCAAGGAUGUCAGCAGAUUAGAUGUCUAGUGAGACUAGUUUCCUGGUUCACAUAUAGCCAUCUUCUCUCUGUGUCUUCACAUGGUGGAAAGAUUUGUGGUACAAGAAGUGCUAAAGGAAGUCUUUCAACAAGAAAAUGAUACCAGAUAAAAUUGUGCAUCUACACAAAAGAAUAAAGGCACAGGAAAUGCCAAUUGCAUAGAUUCUACUUUGUAGAACUUUUAAAAAAGGUCUUGGAGAAGCUCAAGAGUUUCAGAAAGAAUUCCAAGUGGCUUACAGGAAAUGCUACAAUGAGAUAAAUAAAAUACAAACAUGAAUGGAAAAGAGAGAGGAAAAGAAGAUGAAGUACAAGGAAAAGCUGUAAUGCACAUAGAAUAAUCUACAUAUAAAUUUAAGGUUCAGAUUUGAAGAGUCUCUUUGAAAGUGGGAGAGGACAGAUCUUACAUAGACUUUUCAGCUAUGGGAGAAUUAUUUGAAACGCUAACCCUUCUCCCCAAAAUAAAACUCUUGUCAUUUUU